rnacentral:rRNA from 1 species
AUUGAACGCUAGCGGGAUGCCUUACACAUGCAAGUCGAACGGAGUGGCGAACGGGUGAGUAAUGUAUCGGAACGUGCCCAGUAGCGGGGGAUAACUACGCGAAAGCGUAGCUAAUACCGCAUACUAUUGGAGCGGCCGCUAUCGGAUUAGCUAGUUGGUGGGGUAUCGGCUCACCAAGGCGACGAUCCGUAGCUGGUUUGAGAGGACGACCAGCCACACUGGGUCUGAGACAGGGCCCGGACUCCUACGGGAGGCAGGAGUGGGGAAUUUUGGACAAUGGGGGGAACCAUGAGCCAGCCAUCCCGCGUGUGCGAUGAAGGCCUUCGGGUUGUAAAGCACUUUUGGCAGGAAAGCGGUACCUGCAGAAUAAGCACCGGCUAACUACGUGCCAGCAGCCGCGGUAAUUC